GAUGAAGAACGCAGCAAAAUGCGAUAAGUAAUGUGAAUUGCAGAAUUCAGUGAAUCAUCGAAUCUUUGAACGCACAUUGCGCCCGCCAGUAUUCUGGCGGGCAUGCCUGUCCGAGCGUCAUUUCAACCAUCAAGCCCCGGGCUUGUGUUGGGGACCUGCGUCCGACGCAGGCCCUGAAAACCAGUGGCGGGCUCGCUGUCCACACCGAGCGUAGUAACUAACCUCGCUAUGGAGUGGCGCGGGCGCCUGCCGUAAAACCCCCAAUUUCACAAGGUUGACCUCGGAUCAGGUAGGAAUACCCGCUGAACUUAAGCAUAUCAAUAAGCGGAGGA
rnacentral:misc_RNA from 1 species